AUGUUUCACAUAUACUAGAGUAUAAUUCCUAUCUUCAGAUGUACACCAUGACUUGGGAGAGUUUUAAUGUUUAGAUUAUUUAUUCUGUUCACCUUACAUAUCCCUCAGUCUUAUGGUCAAUUUCUUUUUAGAUGUUUUAGUCAAGUUAGUUUUUCCUAAUGAUUUGCACGUAAAACUACUUUUAGAAAUUUGUUGGAGUCAAACAAGCUUCUUUUACUGCCUAUUAUGGAAUAAACUGCUUACCAAUUCAUGCAUCACAAAUCAAAGUAAAAAGAGCACAUUAUCUGGCUCAAAGUAUACUUUAAUUAUGGCAGUAUGUAUGACUGAGGCCAGCUGUAUGAUAAAAAUUGCUCUAUGAUGUAUCUUGGUCUCCCAUCUUGGAGAAAGAACAAAUAUAUUUGUGAACUAAAGAUACUAAUAUCUUUUGACUUUUUAACAAAACAUGGUAAAUUCUCAGGAUAUAAAAAAUAAGUUAUAUGGAAAUUUUCACACAAAUAAAAAAGACAAUGGUAUAACAAACGCAAAUAUACACAUCACCCAACUCCAACAAUUAUUAAUAAAUAGCUAAUCUUUCCCUGAUCAAUAUCUAAAUGUUUAUGGGUAGGAACAAACUCCUCAGCUGUUUUGUAGUCACCCUAUAGUACUGAAAACCACUGCCAGAAAAAAACUUACCUCCUCAAGGGCAUGAUCAAUUGCUUUCACCUCAGUAUCCUUGGCUCUUGGUAUAUGUGCUACAGAGGAGACACCAAGUAUAUAAAUGAUGAAUGGUUAGAUGUCCAUACUAGAAAGCAAGGGGUUUUUCACGCCCAACUAUGAGUGGUGUUUUUAGCAAGAAAUAAAAAAAUACUGUCUUUCCUCAUCCCGCAAACUAAGCUGCUGCUUCUACAGCGUGACGGGUUUUGCACAUGUUGGAAGGAGACAGUAAACAGUCUGCUUCUCUAGGGUUUCCCAUUUGCCCUGCCAUUCAUUUGGAAACUCCUAUGGGCCAGAACGUUAAUAUGUGUCUGAAUUCCUCCAACCUGUUGCUUAGUCAUCAUGGCUUAGAAUCUAAAAUCUGCCUACACCCUGCGGUUAUGUUCUUGAUAAUAACAGUUCUUUAAUAGCACAUCUUAAAUAUUCCUUUGCCCUUUACCUUGGCACAGAAGUGUGAAACACAAUGAGAUAUGUAAGUGCUUUUCUUUAACAAAUGUUCUUCAUAUGCUGAAAUAGCAACUAGCCAAAGAUUAAUAGCUGUUUUCUCCUAUGGUACUUGGAAUUCAAAAGAGCGUAAAUCAGGAUCAAGUUAAUCAAGUUAUGCGAUUUGUAAUAUUCAGUAUUUCUGUGUGCUAUGAAAUGGUGGUUAAAUCAAUAGCUAGCAGAUCCCCUUAUCAAAUAGAGGACUAGUAAAAUCAGCACACUCAUUGGAGAAUGACAGGUGAAAUACUAAAAUUCCAUUUAAAUGAUGGCACAUAAGUUUCUUAUUCAAAUUUGAAAACCUUAAUACUUAAACUCUGAAAUUCUUCAGCAGUAUAGUAGAAGGUAUAGGCUAAAUUUAUACUAGCAUCAUUCAUUUCAUGGGAAUAUUAAUAUUAAUGAAUUAGCACAAAAGCAAGUAGAUUACUUCUUUAGGCAAUAUAUAAGAAGCUAUUGAGCAAGUUACCUCUAUACUUUUUAGAUGUGUUUAAUUAUCCCUGUGCAGAAAAGAGUUAACAUAGCACUCCUGACUGCUUAUACUUAAAAAGGCCAGCUGACAAGGUUGGCCCUUGGUUGGCAUCUGGGAACUUGGAUUCCAGGAGUGUUCCCACCAUGGACUGAUAGGAGUGGCUCACCGUGCCGAAAUUGUUUGUACAAACAAUGCAGUUAUGGAACCCUCUGCAUUCCUUCUGGGAGUCUGAAAUUCGGCUACAUGACAGGCAGGGGUGCCUAUAUGAUAAGCUCCCAAUAAAAAAAUCUGGGUAUUGAGUCUCUAAUGAGCUUUCUUGGUUGGCAACAUUUCACACAAUUGGUCACAACUUCUUGGGUGAGAGAUUAAGCACCUCCUACAUGACUCCCCUGGGAGAGGAAUCUUGGAAGCCGGCACACGUUUACCCCAGAUUUAGCCCCACGUGCCUUUCCUCUUUGCCGCUUAUACUUUGUAUCCUUUCACUGUAAUUAACUACAGCCAUCAGUAUGACUGUAUGCUGAGUCUUCUGAGUGCUCCUAAUGAAUUACCAAAACCGAGGGUGGUCUUGAGUACCCCCAACACAAUCCCCUAAUCUACUUUCAAAAGAAUCACUUAAUUUGAGGAUUAAUAAUGUGCACCUCAACAUAAGCUACAGCUUCUAAAUGCAUUACUAAUGAAAACUUAAGGAUUUCCUAAGCAUUGUAAGUCAAGAAAUCUGUACAAUUGAUUGUAAUUAUACCUUGUUCUGAGUUUGGUUACAAUGGUGUAGGCAACCUUACAGACCAUUAAUAAGGAAUUCUCUUCUAGUUGUUGUCAUGAUGUUGCCCAAGACCACAUCUGACCCAUUGUAGAGUACCCUCUGUAAGAGACAGGACCCAUAGACAAAAUUCAGAUCUCUUUUAACUAAAUUAGGUGUAUCUUGAACUAUAUGUUUUACUUUUAUCUUACCAUGCCUCUCGUGAGUGGUUGGGGGUUGUUUUUCCGGUUUGUUUUGUGUUUUGUUUGUUUUUUUUUUUUUUUUUUGUGGUAUGCGGGCCUCCCCCUGUCGCGGCCUCUCGCGUUGCGGAGCACAGGUUCCGGACGCGCAGGCCCAGCGGCCAUGGCUCACGGGCCCAGCCGCUCCGCGGCACGUGGGAUCCUCCCAGAUCGGGGCGCGAACCCGGUUCCCCUGCAUCGGCAGGCGGGCGCACAACCGCUGCGCUACCAGGGAAGCCCCUUGUUUUGUUUUUUUAACUUUAGAAAACUAAUAGUUAUUUGCAACCCAAUCUAAACCAUUGUACAGGAUAGUAUUCUAUGCGUAUGUUUCUCUGCACUGAACUUGGCUAUACUAUUUUCCUACUCUUAUUUUAAUGUGUCCUAACUUCUCCAGUGUUUUUCUAACUCUCUUAUUGCAGGUAUUAUUACCAGACAUUUCAAAAGUUUUCAGGUAAGCCACAAAGGAAGGAAGAAAAGGACUGAAUAUGUAACAGGUCUAAAGAAAGAAGAGCGAAAAAAGGGCAAGCAGUUAAUACUGGAAAAUGAAAAUUAGUCAAUUUAUCACUAAGCACUAGAUGGACCGGCUGUCAGAUGUACUUUGGCCUCCUGGAGAGAUACACCUUAUCCAUGAAGGUCCAUGUUGGAACCAAAAGUCAACAUAUCUGCCCACCCCCUACACACCCAACACACAUUGGUGGAGCAGAGACAGGAGAACACAAGGAAGAAUUCAAUCUCCUUUACUUACUUAUUUACUUACUGGAAAGAGACGAAUGGGAGACACAGCUGUCACUGGUCCACAGCAGUGAUGAAAUCCUGCCAGGAAGGCAUGAAGACCUCCUGCCCAAGUCAUAUGGGUUGUUGCCAGAUGAGGGCAACUUCUGGAUCGUGCCCUUAAAGCAUCCCUUCUAGUGGAAUUUGUGUGUGAAGCCAGGAGUUGGUGCAACCACCCUGAACUCAUUGAAGAAGGUGUACAGUAAGAACAGUAGUUACAAGAUAGAAGUGUAGGUCCUUGAUGUCUUCAAGCAGAAAAAACAGCUCGGACAUGAUAAUUUUGUCUAAUUUAAACCAUCGUCAUUUUGGGAUUACUACCACAGCAGCUGAUAACCUAAUACAUAAUUUGUACCUAAAAGUGAGAUGCUACUGGAAUAAAACGUGUAACAGGAGGCACUGGCAGUCGGGCAACAGGUGGUGAGGAUACUGUGGACAAGAACGGUGGUGACUCAUGCUAUGGCAAAACAUCUGAUAAAACUAUCAUCAUAUGAUACUUAAGUUGCAGCACGUGCUUAUAGAGCCUAUAGCUCUAAGGCAGUGUUUCUUAACAUAGGUCCUCUUGGCAUCUGGGGUAGAAUAAGUUUUUGUUGGUCAAGAAUACCCUAGGCAUUGUAGGAUGUACAGCUCCCCACCCAUAAAAUGCCAGCAGUAUGAACUGAAAAUGAUUCAAUGACCUUCUAUACUAGCCCCAGGCAAUAUAACAAUCAAGACCUUCCUCAUACAUUCCCUCAUGUCCCUUAUAGGAGCUAGACUGCCCCCAGGUAAGAACCACUGCACUAGAGGAACUAACUAGAAAAAAUGGCAGAACACUGAUGCAUUGGCUCCUUCUUGCCACUUUUGGCAAAAUUCUGCAAGAGAGAGAAGCUCAGGCUAGGUUUACGUGCAGAGAUGGAGGGAACGUCCCUUUGGAAGAGAGGUUCUGUUUGUGGCUGGAUGCAGAAUGGUGGGACUUUGGGAUUGUCUUCGCUUGGGAAGGAUAAACAUGUUCUGCAAGUGGAAGGAAGGAUGCCUGUAGUUGGUGGACAAGGAGGAAGACUAGCAGUGAUGGCUGGUUUUCCUUAGAAUCCCUUUUCUCCCUGUAGCAUAGCAAUAGAACUUUUAACUGGGCACACAGCUACCCUGCUAGACAUUUUCUAGUCUCCUUGGCAGUUAGAAGUGGCUAUAUGAAUAGGUUCUUCCAAUGGAAUGUGAGUAGAAUAAGGUGUGUAACACUCAGGACGUGAGUUUACAUGGAGAAGUAUGCCCUUCCGUCUCCCUCCCCCUCUUCUGCUGGCUGGUAUGUAGGCAUGAUGAUACAAACGGGAGCAGCCAUGUUUUUCACAAGGUGGAAGCCAUGUGUUGAGAAUGGCUGGUCAACUACACAGGAGCCUGGAGCCCUUGAUGACUGGAGCCCUCUCUAGCCACCAUACCAACUAUCUUAUUUAGCCCAUCUCACCGGGAAGACACAUGCACUCUCUUGCAUCCAUGAUCUCAUAUAUAUUAUCUUGCCCUGUUUGUUAGCUGGUUCAAAUUGUAAACUGAAGUGAUAAUAACAUUAGCUGAGUUCAGGUCAUCAUUUUCACCAAUCCUAAAACAUGAGCUGGACUUUGUGGUCUGACCUAUCUCAGCAGCAGAACUCUUUCUUUCAGAUUUCUAAAUUUCCCCCCAGUUUUACUGAGAUAUAAUUGGUAUAUAACAUUGUAUUAAUGUAACGUGCACAACAUAAUGAUUUGAUAUAUGUAUAUAUUGGGGAAUGAUUACCACAAUAAGUUAACAUCCAUCACCUCACGUAGUUACACUUUUUUUCUUGUGGUGACAACUUUUAAGAUCUACUCUCUUAGCAACCUUCAAAUAUAUAGUACAAUAUUGUUAACUAUAGUCACCAUGUUGUUGUUGCAUCAGACUUCUAA